rnacentral:lncRNA from 1 species
GGAGGAGGAGAAUUUUCAAGCUAGGGUUCUCAAAUUCUUCAAUUUCUCAUUUGGUUUAGAAUGGUAAGUAUAAAUUUAUUGAAUUAAAUUUUUAAGGGUUAUGGAAUCUUGCUUUAAUUCAAAGUCUAGCAAGAAUUAUGUAUUAUCGAUAUGUAUUUGAUGAUUAAAAUAAGUAUAUGUCAAAGAAAUAUGUAUUUGAAAAUUAGUGUUGAAAAAAGUGGAAACUUUGGAAAUGGGUUUGUGAUAUAAAGGCAUAUUAUUUGAAAUUCUUGGAAUCAUGUGAUGCUAAAAACUUAAAUUAAGGAUUUGAGGUUGAAAUUCUCCAUUUUUUUUUAGCAAUUUUUGAGUUUUUGCAAAACAGGUGCUAGCUUAGAAAUUCUGCCCAGCAAGGUGUUAUUUCUGUCAAUGUUUUUGGUGAUGGAUUUCAAUAUUCAGAAAUUGGUGCCAGUUUUCAAUAUUCUGAAAUUAUAGUGCUAGUUUGUCAAUCAUCUAAUUUUGGCGGAUUUUUAGUAUUGGAACCAAAUUAAGUAUUAAAUAUUUGACGUUUUGUUGUUAAAAUAAUUUAUAUAAAGAAGUAUAUGUUGUUAAUGACUCUAAAUGGGAUUAUGAGAUUGAAAAUAAAAUAUGUGAAGUUUUCAUUGAUAAAUUAUUAUUUCUAAUAGUAGGAAAAUACUCAAGGAACGCUUGUGAAGGAAUAUGAUUUAUUAUAGCGAGAGCAUGAUAUCAUACUCGGAAUUUGAAAGUGAUGAGGCGACGAGAAUAUCGAAACUAUGAUCAACUAUAACUUUGUGAGUGGAUAAAACUUAUUUUUCAGAAAUAAGUCUUCUUUAAAUUUUAAAGUUAUUUAUUUUAUAAAGUUGACUUCAUAGCAUAAUUUUCAGAAUAAAAUGGAUUUUAUUAUCAAUUUCUUUUAAAGUUAAAUUCAGUUCAAUUAAAUUAUUUUAGUAGCAUGUUAUAUUCUUAUUACAUGUUUCAGUAUAGUUAAAGUUAUUUCUAAAAAUCACCAGAAAGUACCCAAAUGAUUUUACCCCAGUUUGCACUGAUGUGAAUGUUUUUCCGCAGUGUAUGACUAGUUAUAGUGAUUUUAACCGCUCUGCACUAUCGUGAAUGUGUUUCCAUAGUGUAUGACCAAAUUAUCAGAAGUUUUUGAGACCCACUCUUGUACACACAUAGGCUUUGAGUCGUGUACUAGGGUGAUUAGCCUUUGGGGCAGCUCUGCGUACGUAUGACCAAAUUAUCAGAUUAUCAGCUAUCAGAUUAUCAUAUUUGAAUGGCUUUACCUUGUACAUCGAGAUUACUCUGUACAUGAAUAAGGCUAUCCAUUGGGUACUCUUUAUGGUGUGAUUUUUCAGUAUUUAUUCAGUUCUCAGAUUUCAGAUUAUGGAAUUCAGUUAAUUCAGUUUUCAGAAUAAAACUUUUAGCUUAUAAUAUUGACCAGUAGCAAUAUUUCAUAGAUUUUCAUGAAUAUCAGAUUAUUCGUUAACUUUACAUCUACUUAUCUAGAAUUAAGAACAAAGAAUUGUAUGAUGCAAUCAAGUUUUGGUUUUUAAAAGUGUUACCAGAUUUCAGAAUUUUUCAAAGAUUUAAUAAAGCUAGAAUUUUCAGAAAAUAUGUAGAAAUGGAAAAAGUAUAUUUAUUCGCAAAUUAUUCACUCACUGAGCUAUAAGUUCAUAUGUCUUUUCACAUUUUUCCUUAUCAGAUAGCAGCUGAAUUGAGCAGCUUUGGAGCUUGUUGUUCUGCCAUAUUGAGUCACGCGUCAUAAGUUGUAUGACCUACUUUACCAGACUAUGUAGUACAUGUUUCUUUGAGUUAUAUGUAGUUUAUGUCAGAAAAGGUUAUCAUGUGUUCACUGCAUAUUUGGCGUCUUUAGUAUAUUUGAGAAUUGUUGGUUGCAAAGAAAGGAAAUGUUGAUUUGCCGACAUUUUAUUUGAAUAGUUUGUAUUUUGAGGGACUGGCGUAUCCUAUUUAUAUUAUAGGUAUUGAUUUGAGAAAAAUUAGUCGUUGUUCAGUGGUUUUAGUUCAUAUUUCAAGGA